rnacentral:rRNA from 1 species
CCUACGGGUGGCAGCAGUGGGGAAUAUUGCGCAAUGGGCGAAAGCCUGACGCAGCGACGCCGCGUGAGGGAUGAAGGUCUUCGGAUCGUAAACCUCUGUCAGCAGGGAAGAACGGUCACUGUGCUAAUCAGCAGUGAAUUGACGGUACCUGCAAAGGAAGCACCGGCGAACUCCGUGCCAGCAGCCGCGGUAAUACGGAGGGUGCGCGCGUUAAUCGGAAUUACUGGGCGUAAAGCGCUCGUGGGCGGUAUGGCAAGUCAAGGGUGAAAUCCCCGGGCUCAACGUGGGAACUGCCGUUGAAACUGGCAAACUUGAGUGUGUGAGAGGAUAGUGGAAUUCCAGGUGUAGGAGUGAAAUCCGUAGAUAUCUGGAGGAACAUCAGUGGCGAAGGCGACUAUCUGGCACAUAACUGACGCUGAGGAGCGAAAGCGUGGGUAGCAAACAGGAUUAGAUACCCGAGUAGUC